AAAAAUUAAUAAAAGAAAAUUCUAAGUUACGAACAGAAGGGGAUGAAUUAAUAAAUGAAAACAAAAAAUUAAAGAGCUCCAGAAAGGAACUAAAAAAGCAAAUAGAAGAAAAAGAAUUGGAAAUAAAAAAACUUCGUGAAUUAAAUGACGGUUUGCAAAUUAGUUUCAUUCAAAAACUAAGGAGUCUACUAAGGAGUAUGAAUCUAAGUUAGAGCAACUUUCAAACUCAAGAGAACGGUUAGAUUACUCUCAGAAUUAUCCAGCAAUUGGAAUUUUGCGUACUUCAGACGAUUUCCGAAGGGUACACAUUGGUAGAAACCAGUGGGUCACUGAAAAACAGUACAGUAAUUUACUAAAUAAUUCAAAAACACCCAGUCAAUGUGCUAGUAAUAUAUUAACGCUAGUUUUUCAGUAUUGAAGAAUUAACGACUAGCACAAAAACUGGAUAUGAAAGUAAUAAGAAACUAAGUAAAUUACGUGACUUAAUAAAGAAACGAAGAGAUUGGGUAAAUUAAAAAUGCCCAAAAUUGGACGAAAUAAAAUACGGUGCUUGUGAAGAUUAUUAUAUAUAUUGGAUGAAACAUAUUUAUAAACCAAAUAAAGAAGGAAAAACAUUGUUUUGUGUCAGAUAUGGUUGAACUUUGAUAGUUUUGCGGGAAGAAAAA